GGCUCUCGUCAGGGGUCGGGUUGCCCUCGGGGACGAGGUGUUAACGCUGGAAUACGGGGAAAUAAUUUUUGAAGAACAGGCUUUCAGAAGGAACCCAGAAGGACACCCAGACUUUUGGCCUUGUUUUUGUGGGUCAAAUCUCAUGACAAUGCUGUGGAGAAAUGAAGAACAGACAAGAUGGUGCCUGCACAUGACCUAGUCUUUAGUAAUGGCAAUGAAUUUCUUUCCAGAUUAAAGGACUCCUCCUUUGGAGCACAUCAUGGCUCUUAUGCAUGGAAACUAGGUUGUGAGCACAGUGGGAAGCAGAAAACUGUGCACUCCAUCUUCUCCUAAGAUAGAGUUGUGAAGCAAAUGGGAGAGAUGUAAGUAACAAGACAGAGCUGGACUGAAAUGCCUGCUCAAGUAGCCUGUUUUUCCUCACUACCUGCCCUAGGAAUCCAAAUUUAGCCUCCCAAUUUUGGGAGUUGUAUGAUUUUAAUACCCCUUAGAAAUAACAAUUUGAAGUACAGCUAAAAUCAUGUGUUCCAGUGCCAGACUAAGACAUGACACUACAGAAAGGUAUCAGCAGUCAAUGAAGUAAUAAAGAAAAAGUCAACCAAAAAGCAAACCAAUUUCUUAGAUUGUGAAGAAAACAGAAGAAAAAUGCUGACAUGCUUUUGUAGUAAAUAUUCCAAGACAGCAAUCACACCAGGGUGCAGAUAAUUGCUCCAAAACAUGUUUUUCCUUUAACUUCUUUUGAAAUAGAAGUAUUAGCUACUUUCAGCAUUAGGUCAUAAUGAAGUUAAGCGACUGAAAACAAACAGCAUUUCAAAGAAAAACAUUUGAUGUUCUUGAUUUGUGACUAAAAAGGACCCCCUUCCCUUCUCUCCUUUACAAUGAGAUGUGUUUGGUGAGAGGACUAAUGCAGCUGUGGAUGGCUCUCCCACAGUCAGGGAAGAUGCAAUACUUUCUCAGUGUUACUGCUGUUGCUGCUGUAGAUGCAAUGGAGUUCACCUUAACAAAAGUAAGGGAAUCCAAGCCAACAAGUGCAGGGAUGACAAAAAAUUGGGGGAGGCAUUUGAUAGGCUGAGGGGUAUGGCUACCAGAGUAAUUUCCACAAUUGGAAUCUGAUACAAAUUUCAAGAAGUUCCAUGAAAACAGUGGCAAGCGCAAAGUCCUGAAGCUGGGGUAAAAGAGUACAGAUUGAGGAGCAACCUUACCAAAAAAGAAGGUGUGUAUUUGAUAAAGACGAACUACAUACUGGCUGUAUUAGCACAUGAGAAGCAAGAAGACUAAAAGGGGUAAUGAUGCUCCCCUACUCAACACUUGUGAGGCUUCAUCUCCAGAACCAUGUCCUGUCUUGAGUUCCCCAAAAGGAGAUGGACAUUGAUGGAAGGGACUAAAAGUCCAGUGAAGGGCCACGAAGGGGGAGUGCAACACACAACAAAAAAGUUGUGUGUUGCUUAUUUGAUAGCAAGAUGAUAAGGCUGAGGGGAGAUCCUACUGCUGCCUUUAAAUUACUUAUCGGGAGGGUACAGAGAUGAUGACAAAUUUUUCUUGAAGGUGGCACAGUGACAAGAAAAGAGUUGUGACUUGCAUUAAAGGGCAUUAAAGACAUAAACAAAAUCCUACAGCACAAGAGUUUACCCAGACAGCUCUACCAGGCUGCAACAUCUUCAUCCUUGGAGAUAAAUAAAACUUCACUGGGCAAGGCCCUGAGAAACUUGACCUAAAUCUGAAGUUACCUCCAAUUUGAACAGGAGGUUGAACUAAAUAACAUCUGGAGGUCUACUUGUACUUUAAUUACUGUGUGAUUCUAUAAAGUAGACAUUUAACAUCACUCAAAUUAAUCCUACCUGAAUGUUGUAAGAGGUGUUUUUCAAAAGGCUUUGCCUUGUAGAUAUUUAAGGAGUGCUCCUCUGACAUACGCAGUAGGAAGCAUGAACACUACCUUCCAUGUAAAAUAGUUUAAUCUUUUUUUUUCUGUACAAUUCUGUAACUCAGAUAUUUCACUCCAUCUCAAGCUGCUGAAAAGUUGUGUUUAAACAAUAUUCCCAGAUAGAAUCUUUCUUUUUACAAGCUUAAUUUUUAUCUAUUGCAUUUUUUUAAUCAGACAUCUAAAUACUAUGGGUUUAUAGGAAGUCUGUGAGGCUUUUGCUACAUUAUUACUGAUGUAAUUAUAUAAAAUUAAAUCAGGUUAUAAAACCAACAAAUGCACAAUCAUCUAUUGUAUUACGUGGAUAGAUUCUCUCUGAGGAAAUAUAACUACAUUAAAGAAAAAUUUUAAGAAGAGACUGCAUCACUCAGAAAUGCAGAGCAGCAGUUGUGGCAAAACUCUUAAACAAAAGAACACAAUAAGAUCUCAAGUACCUGCAGGCUACCAACUUACAGCUGCCGUGGAAUGGUAUGAUGAAUGACUAAAGUUUUACCUAUCAAGUGUUGGAUAAUAAGGUAAUCCCGUGCUUACAAACAGGAUUACAAUACAGUAUUAAGCUUUUAAAGCUGAGCUCAAAAAUGUAGAAGGCAAUCCUGAUAGAAUAGAUGUAACAUGGCAUUCUUACCUCCCACGACACC